GUCCACAGUCACACCACCCUGAGCCUCCGGGAUCUCGUCUGAUCUCGGAAGCUAAGCGGGGUCGGCCUAGGUUAGAAUGUGGAUGGGAGACCAAACAGCUGCCGCACGGGGCUUUCUUCC
rnacentral:rRNA from 1 species